rnacentral:rRNA from 1 species
GAUGAACGCUGGCGGCGUGCCUAAUACAUGCAAGUCGAGCGAACAGACGAGGAGCUUGCUCCUCUGACGUUAGCGGCGGACGGGUGAGUAACACGUGGAUAACCUACCUAUAAGACUGGGAUAACUUCGGGAAACCGGAGCUACUACCGGAUAAUAUAUUGAACCGCAUGGUUCAAUAGUGAAAGACGGUUUUGCUGUCACUUAUAGAUGGAUCCGCGCCGCAUUAGCUAGUUGGUAAGGUAACGGCUUACCAAGGCAACGAUGCGUAGCCGACCUGAGAGGGUGAUCGGCCACACUGGAACAGAGACACGGUCCAGACUCCUACGGGAGGCAGCAGUAGGGAAUCUUCCGCAAUGGGCGAAAGCCUGACGGAGCAACGCCGCGUGAGUGAUGAAGGUCUUCGGAUCGUAAAACUCUGUUAUUAGGGAAGAACAAAUGUGUAAGUAACUAUGCACGUCUUGACGGUACCUAAUCAGAAAGCCACGGCUAACUACGUG